rnacentral:rRNA from 1 species
CAGGCUUAACACAUGCAAGUCGAGGGGCAGCAUGGUCUUAGCUUGCUAAGGCCGAUGGCGACCGGCGCACGGGUGAGUAACACGUAUCCAACCUGCCGUCUACUCUUGGACAGCCUUCUGAAAGGAAGAUUAAUACAAGAUGGCAUCAUGAGUCCGCAUGUUCACAUGAUUAAAGGUGUUCCGGUAGACGAUGGGGAUGCGUUCCAUUAGAUAGUAGGCGGGGUAACGGCCCACCUAGUCUUCGAUGGAUAGGGGUUCUGAGAGGAAGGUCCCCCACAUUGGAACUGAGACACGGUCCAAACUCCUACGGGAGGCAGCAGUGAGGAAUAUUGGUCAAUGGGCGAGAGCCUGAACCAGCCAAGUAGCGUGAAGGAUGACUGCCCUAUGGGUUGUAAACUUCUUUUAUAAAGGAAUAAAGUCGGGUAUGCAUACCCGUUUGCAUGUACUUUAUGAAUAAGGAUCGGCUAACUCCGUGCCAGCAGCCGCGGUAAUACGGAGGAUCCGAGCGUUAUCCGGAUUUAUUGGGUUUAAAGGGAGCGUAGAUGGAUGUUUAAGUCAGUUGUGAAAGUUUGCGGCUCAACCGUAAAAUUGCAGUUGAUACUGGAUAUCUUGAGUGCAGUUGAGGCAGGCGGAAUUCGUGGUGUAGCGGUGAAAUGCUUAGAUAUCACGAAGAACUCCGAUUGCGAAGGCAGCCUGCUAAGCUGCAACUGACAUUGAGGCUCGAAAGUGUGGGUAUCAAACAGGAUUAGAUACCCUGGUAGUCCACACGGUAAACGAUGAAUACUCGCUGCUUGCGAUAUACGGCAAGCGGCCAAGCGAAAGCGUUAAGUAUUCCACCUGGGGAGUACGCCGGCAACGGUGAAACUCAAAGGAUUGACGGGGGCCCGCACAAGCGGAGGAACAUGUGGUUUAAUUCGAUGAUACGCGAGGAACCUUACCCGGGCUUAAAUUGCAGAUGAAUUACGGUGAAAGCCGUAAGCCGCAAGGCAUCUGUGAAGGUGCUGCAUGGUUGUCGUCAGCUCGUGCCGUGAGGUGUCGGCUUAAGUGCCAUAACGAGCGCAACCCUUGUUGUCAGUUACUAACAGGUCAUGCUGAGGACUCUGACAAGACUGCCAUCGUAAGAUGUGAGGAAGGUGGGGAUGACGUCAAAUCAGCACGGCCCUUACGUCCGGGGCUACACACGUGUUACAAUGGGGGGUACAGAGGGCCGCUACCACGCGAGUGGAUGCCAAUCCCAAAAACCUCUCUCAGUUCGGACUGGAGUCUGCAACCCGACUCCACGAAGCUGGAUUCGAUAGUAAUCGUGCAUCAGCCACGGCGCGGUGAAUACGUUCCCGGGCCUUGUACACUCCGCCCGUCAAGCCAUGGGAGCCGGGGGUACCUGAAGUGCGUAUCCGCGAGGAGCGCCCUAGGGUAAAAUUGGUGACUGG